AGCUCCAAUAGCGUAUAUUAAAGUUGCUGCAGUUAAAAAGCUCGUAGUUGCAUUUCCGAGGCAAGGGGUUAGUCCGACCUUUGGUGGGUAUUUAAUCCUCUUGCCUCGUCCUUGAGUGGUGCUUCUUGGUAUUAAGUUAUCGAGGAGAUAGCCGCUCAUCGUUUACUGUGAGAAAAUUAGAGUGUUCAAAGCAGGCUUAUGCCGUUGAAUAUAUUAGCAUGGAAUAAUAAGAUAGGACCUCGGUACUAUUUUGUGGGUUUGAGAACCAAGGUAAUGAUGAAUAGGGACAGUUGGGGGUAUUCGUAUUCAGUUGUCAGAGGUGAAAUUCUUAGAUUUACGGAAGACGAACUACUGCGAAAGCAUUUACCAAGGAUGUUUUCA
rnacentral:rRNA from 1 species